CGGAUCAGAAUGCCGCGGUGAAUACGUUCCCGGGUCUUGUACACACCGCCCGUCACACCAUGGGAGUCGGGAAUGCCCGAAGCCGGUGACCCAACCAAAAGGAGGGAGCCGUCGAAGGCAGGUCUGAUAACUGGGGUGAAGUCGUAACAAGGUAUC
rnacentral:rRNA from 1 species